UACGGAGGGUGCAAGCGUUGUCCGGAUUUAUUGGGUUUAAAGGGUGCGUAGGUGGCCUUAUAAGUCAGCGGUGAAAGUCUGCAGCUUAACUGUAGAACUGCCAUUGAUACUGUAAGGCUUGAGUACUGAUGAGGUAGGCGGAAUUGAUAGUGUAGCGGUGAAAUGCUUAGAUAUCGUCAAGAACACCGAUAGCGAAGGCAGCUUACUAGGCUGUAGCUGACGCUGAGGCACGAAAGUGUGGGGAUCAAACAGG
rnacentral:rRNA from 1 species